AACGAACGCUGGCGGCAUGCCUAACACAUGCAAGUCGAACGAGACCUUCGGGUCUAGUGGCGCACGGGUGCGUAACGCGUGGGAACCUGCCCUUAGGUUCGGAAUAACUCCCCGAAAGGGGUGCUAAUACCGGAUAAUGUCUUCGGACCAAAGAUUUAUCGCCUUUGGAUGGGCCCGCGUUGGAUUAGCUAGUUGGUAGGGUAAAAGCCUACCAAGGCGACGAUCCAUAGCUGGUCUGAGAGGAUGAUCAGCCACACUGGGACUGAGACACGGCCCAGACUCCUACGGGAGGCAGCAGUGGGGAAUAUUGGACAAUGGGCGAAAGCCUGAUCCAGCAAUGCCGCGUGAGUGAUGAAGGCCUUAGGGUUGUAAAGCUCUUUUACCCGGGAUGAUAAUGACAGUACCGGUAGAAUAAGCUCCGGCUAACUCCGU
rnacentral:rRNA from 1 species